AUACACCAUCCUGGUCUUGCGUCUGAUGAAGUGGGCAUUCACCCACGAAAGCUUAUGCUCCAAUACUUCUGUUAGUCUUAAAGGUGCCACAGGACCCUCUGUUGCUUUUUACAGAUUCAGACUAACACGGCUACCUCUCUGUUACUUGACCAUCCUGGUUAUUACUCAGUCUCUUCCCAUCCCUUUCUAAAUAGAUGGUUUUUAGCCUUGCAGAGCUGGAAAGUCAUGUAGGCCUGGGCCACACUACACAGUUAGGUUGACAUAAGCUGCCUUGUGUUGACCUAAUUGCUCAUGUGGCUACACUUAAAUUUGUCUCCCACUGAUGUAAGUGCCCCGUUAGAGGAACACAGUAACACCACCUCACCAAGCAGCAUUGAGCCAUGGUCGAUGUACUGAGGUCAAGGCAGCAUGAGUGUAGACAUUGCAUUACUGUAUUGUCCCCAACAGUCCUCCAGCAGCUGUCUCAAAAUGCCAAGCACUGAUGGCUCUUGUCAACGAUCUGAACUCCACUGCUCAGAGAUCACAGAGGAAGGAAGCUCCUUCCCCCCCACCACACACACACACACAUUUUAAAACCCUGGGAAUUUUUGAAAUGCCUUUUCCUGAUUGCCCAGCUAUCCAUUCUCCACUAUUCCAUUUCCACUGUUGUGUGUAACUGCCCAGGUGACUAUGCUGGCCACACUCUCCAGCCUGGGUCUCCUGGGCCGGUGGGGAGAAAAGGCUGUGCAUUCACAGCUACAGACCUGCUGUAGAAACAUGGACAUCUGUGAGCAGGUUGCUUGUGAAUGCAGGAGAAGUGAUACGACAGGGAUCAGCAGCAGUGCUGCUGCUGCGAGCAAAGGCACUGUGGCAGGCAUGUCCCAGGGAGGCCAACAGUUGAUCUGGUGCUGAGCCACAGAUCUGCCUUUUUUACAAAUGGCUGCAUGCCAUAAUUGGUGGAAACCCCACCACCACACUGCAGACAACUAUGGAUCCCUCUGAGGAACCCAAGUCACAGGCCCCUGCUGUGAACAGCGAGGAGGAAGAGGAGGAAGAUGGGGGACAUCGAUCAGGGGGUUCAGCUAUGCUGCGAGCCAGGAGCUGCUUGAGACUCCACCACAGUCCAUUCAGUCCCAGCAGUCGAGCCUGGGCGAGCCUGAUACAGGGGAAGGAACCUCGGCUGCUGCCAUUGUGGCCUUCAGGCAUUCCCCUCCUUACCUGUGGAACACCUGAUCUAGAUAAGGAGGACAAGGAAAGAGCAGACAGAAGACAGGCCCAGGAGUCCCCGCAGGAAAAGGAGAGGAAGAUGCACCAGGACAUAAUGGGGCUUCUCUGGCAGCAAACACACAUGCUUCAGACGCUUGUGGACCUUCAGUUUCAACAGUCACAUUCUUGCCUUCCUUUGCGGUCUAUGGAGAACCCCAGUAUAGCACCUUCCUUCACUGCCAUCACCCUUGCACGUGGCAUAAGUGUCUGCAUCCCUACCCCUACCACUCCACACAGGGGACAGUAAGGCCAACCACCACUUCACAUACACUUAUCUGUCAGAGCAGUGGUGAGCAAUCUGCAGCCCACGGUCUGCAGUUUCCCCACCACUGUGUCAGAGCCACAGUUGCCGUUCACAUACACUGAUCUGUCAGAGCCACAGUUGCCGUAUGUGUAGUUAAAAUGGACAUGAAUGUACCUUCCGCUUCUUAAGCUCUGUUCCAUAAAAUUUAAGUGUUUAACAUAUUUGCUCUUAACUUGCAAAGAAUUUUUUUUGCAGUGUUUUUGUUACUCAAGAAAAUUCUAUUGUUUGGAAAAUCUUUAUUAGUUCCCAACAUAUGCUGCAGAAUGUCUAGCGGUACUGAAAACACCCACUUACUUGUUAUUAUAUGGCGUGACACAGCUCACAGGAUCAGUGGAAAAAACACAGCGUCAUGAUCAUAAAUGUAUAGCAAGCACCACAAAAUUAAUAGGUGCAUUGACAGUGUUAUAUUCAUUCAUGUACAUCAAGCACCAUACAAUACCUAACAGGCCCCAAAAUAGCAGGGCCAGGUAGAGCACAGGACACCACAAUGCAUUAAGGUGGCUCACUGUUAAAGUGCUUUUUCAUAGCCUCCCUGAGCCAUAUAACUCUGUGUUGAGCUCUUCUGAUAGCUCUUGUGUCUGGCUGCUCAAACCCAGCAGACAGCUGCUCUAUAUCCAACCUCCACCCUGGUGGCCACUUUUCCCCAUUUGCAUCAGAGAUACUAUGCAAGACACAGCAGACAGAUAUAACUGUUGGGAUGCUUUUUCUUGCUGACAUCCAAUCUUGUAAGUAAACAACACCAGCAUCCCUUCAAUCUACCGAAAACACAUUCAACACUCAUUCUGCACCUGCUGAGUCGGUAGCUGAAUCUCUCUUUGGUGCUGUUGAGGUGGCCAGUGUACGGCUUCAUGGCUCAGGAAAGCAAGAGGUAGGCUGGGUCCCCCAGAAUCACUACUGACAUUUCAACAUCGCCAAUGGUAAUCCACCAGUUGGGAAAGAAAGUCCCUGCUUGUAGCUUUGUGAGCAGUCCUGUGUAUUUAAAGAUGCAAGCAUUGUGCACCUUCCCUGACAAGCCAAGAUUGAUGUUGGUGAAGUGUUCCCGGUGAUCCACCAAUGCUCACAUAACCAUGGAAAAGUAGCCCUUUCUGUUGAUGUACUGUGUGCACAUUGCCGACAGUCACAGUCCUUCAUAGCAAAAGACGAUUAAUGGCGCUGCACAUUUAUAUGACAGUGGCCCCACCGUGGAUUUUUGAAUGCCAAAGUGAUUUCCCCACAGACUGGUAUCAAUCCAAUGUUGCAGACUUGCACAGUGUGAUUUCCACUCGCUUCUCCACUGUCAGUGCAGCUCUCAUUCCGGUGUCCUUGUGCUGGACGGCUGGGGCAAGCUUGGCACACUGAUCCAGGAACGCAGCCUUACACAUCCAAAAGUUCUGAAGCCACUGCUCAUCAUCCCAAACCUGCAUGACGAUGCAAUCCCACAAGUCAAUGCCCAUUUCUCAGGCCCAGAAGAAGCUCUCCACCGUCUGCAGCUGCUUAGUGCACACCACUAACAACCUUGAAUUGGAUCUUGCUAUGUCCCGCAGCAAACUGUCCUCCAAUAAAUCAUCAUGUUUCUCCCAGGUUUGGUUCUUUGUGCAGCUCUGCAAAUACUGCAGGAUUGUGCAUCCUGUGCUUGCAAUGCUCAAAACACCAGUGCAGAGCUAUGCAGGCUUCUGUCAAAGAUGGCAGACAGGGAGGAGGGCCACGCAAGUAUGUGGGAUUUUUAAAAAUGGUGCAAAAAUGGCAUUAUGGGAUGUACAAAGUUGCAUGCUAGGAAGUUGACCCCUUACUCCCAGUCAUCCCUGUGUGACUUGUUCCUGCCCCACCAUGCAUUGCCAAAACUUCCCAAAAGACAGUGUGCUAGAUGGUGGUAAGUUAUACACUGGGAUACUUAUCCACAUUGCACCAUGGUGAGUACGCGCAGCGCUGACACACGGAGACAAUAUGCAUACCCACAAGCCAUAUACCAGCUGCGAUGGUUUUAUGCCAUUGGAACUUGCGUCGGCAAAAGUUUGUCGCAUAGACAUGCCCUUAAGAUAUGUCUACACUGCAAUCAAAGCUGUGACUACAGCACAUGUAGACAUAGAUUUGAUCUAGCUGGCUUGAAUAACAAUAGCAGUGAAGCUGAGGCAUUUUAAGUUGACUAGCUGCUCAAGAACAUACCCAGGAUCCCAGGACAGUUGCCAUGCAUGCUGCUGGGGCUUUACGACUAUCAUUAUUACAGCGACCUAGAUCAAAGCUAGCUUGGGUAUGUCUUCACAGGCAGCAACCACACUUCUGAUUGCAGUGUACAUGUCCCCUUAGCUUUCAAAUGGGGUGGAAGAGCAUGACAGUAUCAUUGUGGUGUGUCAUCCUGACACUGAGUUACACUCAUGGCGUGCUGUUGAACUAGAGAGACUCACGCAUCACAAUUUAUGCAAUAUCACCUGGAAAACAUGACAGUGUCAAAUAUUGCACCUUUGCCAAAGACCUGCCUGUGGGGUCCAAAAGAGAUACCUGUGGCUCCACAGCCAUAGUUUAAGUAUCACUGACAUACCACAGACAAAUAGCAUAUAUCCACAAUACAGUACAGUAUAUAAUGAAUAUGUGAUAAUGGGCUAUUAAGUAUUGUAAGGCUCUGGAAGCAAUGCUCAUGAGAAGCCAUUCCUAUUUUAGAGGAAACCUCUUGGAGGAUAAGGGCACUUACACGAUGCAGGCAGAAGUAUUUUCUAAUUUUCCUGUAUGUGUCAUGCUAGAUCAAACACACCCCUAUUAUCAUCAUUCAGCACAGAUUCAUAGUGCAUGGAGCAUAAGGAAUUGGGAACCUUUAGGGGAAGAAGGAAAAGGGAGGGAUCCCCACUAGAGAGGCAAAGGCUGGUUGAUCAAGUUAUCAGGACACUAGCCUUGGAUUUGGGAGACAUCUAUUCAACUUCCAGCUCAGACACAGAUUUCCUGUGUGACUGUGAGCAGGUCACUAAGUCUCUCUAUGCUGCCAGUCCCUAUCUGUAAAAUGGGGACAAUAGUACUUCCCUAUCUCACAGGGAUGUUGCCAGGAUAAAUACUAUGAAGAUUGCGGAGUGCUAGACAUAACGGGAAGGGGGGCAUAUCAAUACCUAUAAAGGAAAGAUACCAGGGAUACAGUCCUGGCUCUAUUAAAUUCAAUGGCAAAACUCCCACACACUUUAAUGAAGGCAGAAGUUUACCCCAGGAGCAGGGAUUGGGGAAAUUACAUGGAGGAUCUGAUGUAUUCUCCUAUCUGGGCCUAUUUAUAUAUACACCCCUCUUACCUGUUUUCUCUUUCCAACCCCCAUGAUGAUGGUCUAGACUUGCCCCACUCAUUGUCCUGUCAUAUCCUGUCAUUCACUUUAAUCAGUGAGAGGUUUUUCUCCUGGGUGGACGUAUAGAGAAAUAAGCAUGCAGAGAUGACUCACGUGUGAUGGAUAUGCAGAAUGACAGCUGAAACUAGUCCAGAUUUCCUGAAAAGAUGCUGAAUUCAUGUGUUCCAGACUAUGGCCUUGUCGGACAACAUUUGCAUUGUGAAAGGCUGGUAUGAUUGGUUUAGCUGCCACUACUGUAGCUAGGAAAGAAAGAAUAGAGAAGGAAAAGAGACAGCCACAGAAAGGGAGGGUGUUAAGAAAAAAAAAGUAGGUGUUAAGAAAAAAAAACCAAGGGGGUAUGAGGAUGACACUGAAACAGAUUAUGAAAAAUAGACUGCAGGAAUCAGACAAGUGAUGGAGACAUUAAAACUCACAUAGAAAAGCCAGGGAUAAAGAAAGAUUGAUUCAGAAAGAAAGAAAAGCAAAACAAAAAACAGGAGAUGAAUUCAGAAAGAAUGAUGGAAAACUACAAUGAACCCCAAGGUCCCGUAACAGAAGAAAACGAAACAAGUGCAGAUAAGAGCCAGACAGAAAAAAAAGAGUGGGA